rnacentral:rRNA from 1 species
CAGCCGCCACGGUAAAACGGAGGGUGCAAGCGUUAUCCGGAUUUAUUGGGUUUAAAGGGUCCGUAGGCGGACUUAUAAGUCAGUGGUGAAAGCCUGUCGCUUAACGAUAGAACUGCCAUUGAUACUGUAAGUCUUAAGUAUAUUUGAGGUAGCUGGAAUAAGUAGUGUAGCGGUGAAAUGCAUAGAUAUUACUUAGAACACCAAUUGCGAAGGCAGGUUACCAAGAUAUAACUGACGCUGAGGGACGAAAGCGUGGGUAGCGAACAGGAUUAGAUACCCCAGUAGUCCCUGUCUCUUAUAA